GAGGGCGUUGCUAAGCGUAACCACUCCCAGGAGGCGAGACUGCCCGCACACGCACUAUUACAACAAAAACACUAGCGUCAGCACAGUGGAUUCAGUCACCUAUGUCUGGAUCAGAGGUCAUUAUUCAUGAGUCAGAAAAUCUAUCCAAGAGUGUAAAGAAAACUUUCUAUCUGAGAAUCUACAGAAAUGUUUGUUCCAGAGACAUCCACAAGAUGGGAGUGUGGAUCUGUUUGUGGACCCUCAUGGCUCUGAAGCAACAGUGCUGGCAACUACCUGCAAGUGACACAAAGCCAGUGGUUCCUGCUGAGCUCCAAGCAACGCACUGGCACCAGAAAUCUUCCAAGCCAAAAAGUUCUUCUACCUGCUGCCUGGAGACCUCAAUCUGGACUUCUCGUACCACAAGGCCUAAUGAGGGUGAAAAAAAG